UCCCCGGCUUUCCAACCAGUCUCUGCCAGCUCGUCCGUUCACCCAAGUGAUUCCUGCUUGAGCCCUGGAAGCCCAGUCUGCCUGCCCGAGCCAAAUUGUUUUUUGUUGGUCCUGCCUCUCGCCUGUCUGCCCACUCUCAGCCCCAGAGGAUUUCAAAGCACCUUCAUUACUUUUUGUGUUCAAUAAACCUCUAUACCUGUUCU